AUCGUUAAAAAAGUAAGAUCCUGAUGUUUCUUGGCAAUAGUUAGGCGUCAGAAACCGGUAAAUACUGUGCUCUGAGUACGAUGACCUGGCAACGGUAGCUAUACGUAUUUUCAUAUUAUUGUUCUGUUGUUUAUUCAAUGUUUUGUUCAAGAAAAAGAAUACCCAUAAUUUUAGUUAGUUUUUGGUUAUAAGGAUUCUUUACGUAAUACAAUUAUAACAUUACCUUCUACUAGUUAGGAAACGUACUGAAUCCUGGAUCGGCUACAGUGAUGUUGGGUGCGCCUAUUCCUUCCUCAUCCCUUCAGAAUCCUUCACCUUCAUCAAGUCCUUCAACUCGUUCUAAUCCUUCCUCCUCAGCAUCACCAAUCCUUCCUUUGUCCGCUCAUCACCUGCAAUCACUACCUUCCACAUCACAGGAGUCUACAUCAACUGGAGCCCCACCCAAUUCACCAUCUUCACCUCAGUUACACAGUUCACCACCCUCACCUCCUCCACCGCCUCUACCAUUCUACUCGUUGGUCAGGAAGGCAUAGACAUAUUCUCCGAGGAGGAGGAAGAAUUUUUUUCCUCCGAGGACCGAAGCUUUCAUCCCUAUCCACCCAACCCGGAGGAAUAAAAUAAAGUACGUACGCAUGUGGAGAGUGCAGCCUGGUUUUUGACCAUUUUGACCAGUUGCUGGAGCAUCAGAACGCAGGUCAUGCUGCAGCUCCAGAACAAGCUCCAGUUUCAGAUGAACUUCACUCCAGACCAGUGCAACUCCAAGUGGAAGAAUCUACUGAGGGCCUACAAAAAAUUUGUUGAUAAUAGUAAAACAACUGGUGCCGCAGCUCUGCCAAUACCUCCCUACUAUAAUGAAAUUCAUGGAUUGGUUCGUGACAGCCAUUCUGUGAACACGUCAAAUACUCUGAUCUUGGACAGUGGUGCACAUGAGAAUCCGACUGCUCAGAGGCUCAGCUCAGAGGCAACUGGUGGUAUGCCGGCGCUACCUGAGGGGGUUCCUGGGCCCUCCAGCCGUGUCCCAGAAGGUGAGACAGCCGCAACCAGACCGUCUGGGUGCCAAGUAGAUGGCACUGAAGAAACGGCAGCAGGAAGAAGCAGGCAGCGGCAGGAUGUACAAGUCAGGCUAACACCAGCCUCACACAACGCCCAGACAAGGGCAUUAAUGCUGCGCCAUGCUGAGGCACUCGAAGGGGUGCUGAAGUUAAUGACGGAACAGGAAGAAAAUCGGAAAGAAUUUAGAAAAAGACAGCUUGAAAAUGAUCAAGCAUUGAUGAAAGAGCUGCAGCGAUUUAACAACAUUAUGGAUGCCAAAAGGUCGUCAAAGAGGCGUAGAGACAGUGAUUCUGA